rnacentral:rRNA from 1 species
GUUCCAGACUCCUACGGGAGGCAGCAGUGAGGAAUAUUGGUCAAUGGGCUUACGCCUGAACCAGCCAAGUCGCGUGAGGGAAGACUGCCCUAUGGGUUGUAAACCUCUUUUGUCAGGGAGCAACGCCGGCUACGUGUAGCCGGACUGAGAAUACCUGAAGAAAAAGCAUCGGCUAACUCCGUGCCAGCAGCCGCGGUAAUACGGAGGAUGCGAGCGUUAUCCGGAUUUAUUGGGUGUAAAGGGGGCGCAGACGGCAAUGCAAGCCAGGAGUGAAAGCCCGGGGCCCAACCCCGGGACUGCUCUUGGAACUGCAUGGCUGGAGUACAGGAGGGGCAGGCGGAAUUCCUAGUGUAGCGGUGAAAUGCGUAGAUAUUAGGAGGAACACCGGUGGCGAAGGCGGCCUGCUGGACUGUGACUGACGUUGAGGCCCGAAGGCGUGGGGAGCAAACAGGAUUAGAUACCCCAGUAAUA